GAUGAACGCUGGCGGCGUGCCUAAUACAUGCAAGUCGAACGCACCAUUUCGGUGGUGAGUGGCGAACGGGUGAGUAAAAGAUAAGUAACCUGCCCUAGGCAGGGGGAUAACGACCGGAAACGGACGCUAAAACCGCAUAGGCUGGGAGAUCGCAUGAGAAUCCAGUUAAAUGUCCUGAAAGGGACAGGCAAAGGAGGGACUUAUCACGCAUUAGCUAGUUGGUGGGGCAACGGCCUACCAAGGCGACGAUGCGUAGCCGGCCUGAGAGGGCGGACGGCCACACUGGGACUGAGACACGGCCCAG
rnacentral:rRNA from 1 species